AUUGAACGCUGGCGUCAUGCCUUACACAUGCAAGUCGAACGGUAACAGGUCUUCGGAUGCUGACGAGUGGCGAACGGGUGAGUAAUACAUCGGAACGUGCCCGAUCGUGGGGGAUAACGGAGCGAAAGCUUUGCUAAUACCGCAUACGAUCUACGGAUGAAAGCAGGGGACCGCAAGGCCUUGCGCGAACGGAGCGGCCGAUGGCAGAUUAGGUAGUGGGUGGGAUAAAAGCUUACCAAGCCGACGAUCUGUAGCUGGUCUGAGAGGACGACCAGCCACACUGGGACUGAGACACGGCCCAGACUCCUACGGGAGGCAGCAGUGGGGAAUUUUGGACAAUGGGCGCAAGCCUGAUCCAGCAAUGCCGCGUGCAGGAUGAAGGCCUUCGGGUUGUAAACUGCUUUUGUACGGAACGAAAAGGCUCUGGUUAAUACCUGGGGCUCAUGACGGUACCGUAAGAAUAAGCACCGGCUAACUACGUGCCAGCCGCCGCGGUAAGAC
rnacentral:rRNA from 1 species